rnacentral:rRNA from 1 species
CAGUCGCCGCGGGAAUACAGAGGGUGCGAGCGUUAAUCGGAUUUACUGGGCGUAAAGCGUGCGUAGGCGGCUAAUUGAGUCGGAUGUGAAAUCCCCGAGCUUAACUUGGGAAUUGCAUUCGAUACUGGUUAGCUAGAGUGUGGGAGAGGAUGGUAGAAUUCCAGGUGUAGCGGUGAAAUGCGUAGAGAUCUGGAGGAAUACCGAUGGCGAAGGCAGCCAUCUGGCCUAACACUGACGCUGAGGUACGAAAGCAUGGGGAGCAAACAGGAUUAGAUACCCCCGUAGUCCCUGUCUCUUAUAC